rnacentral:misc_RNA from 1 species
GAUGAAGAACGUAGCGAAAUGCGAUAAGUAAUGUGAAUUGCAGAAUUCAGUGAAUCAUCGAAUCUUUGAACGCACAUUGCGCCCGCCAGUAUUCUGGCGGGCAUGCCUGUUCGAGCGUCAUUUCAACCAUCAAGCCCCCGGCUUGUGUUGGGGACCUGCGGCUGCCGCAGGCCCUGAAAACCAGUGGCGGGCUCGCUAGUCACUCCGAGCGUAGUAAUACAUCUCGCUCAGGGCGUGCUGCGGGUUCCGGCCGUUAAAAGCCUUAUUUUACCCAAGGUUGACCUCGAUCAGGUAGGAAGACCCGCUGAACUUAAGCAUAUCAAUAAGCGGAGGA